rnacentral:rRNA from 1 species
UACGUAGGUGGCAAGCGUUGUCCGGAUUUACUGGGCGUAAAGAGUAUGUAGGCGGAUAUUUAAGUCAGAUGUGAAAUUCCCGGGCUUAACCUGGGCGCUGCAUUUGAUACUGGAUAUCUAGAGUGUGGGAGAGGAAAGCGGAAUUCCUAGUGUAGCGGUGAAAUGCGUAGAGAUUAGGAAGAACACCAGUGGCGAAGGCGGCUUUCUGGACCAUAACUGACGCUGAGAUACGAAAGCGUGGGGAGCAAAC